UACGAAGGGGGCUAGCGUUGCUCGGAAUCACUGGGCGUAAAGCGCACGUAGGCGGAUUGUUAAGUCAGGGGUGAAAUCCUGGAGCUCAACUCCAGAACUGCCUUUGAUACUGGCGAUCUCGAGUUCGGGAGAGGUGAGUGGAACUGCGAGUGUAGAGGUGAAAUGCGUAGAUAUCGAGAGGAACACCUGCGGCGAAGGCGGGUAGCUGGGCCGACACUGACGCUGAUGCGCGAAAGCCAGGGGAGCGAACGGG
rnacentral:rRNA from 1 species